rnacentral:rRNA from 1 species
GAUGAACGCUGGCGGCGUGCCUAAUACAUGCAAGUCGAGCGAACAGACGAGGAGCUUGCUCCUUCGACGUUAGCGGCGGACGGGUGAGUAACACGUAGGUAACCUACCUAUAAGACUGGGAUAACUUCGGGAAACCGGAGCUAAUACCGGAUAAUAUUACGAACCGCAUGGUUCGAUAGUGAAAGAUGGCUUUGCUAUCACUUAUAGAUGGACCUGCGCCGUAUUAGCUAGUUGGUAAGGUAACGGCUUACCAAGGCAACGAUACGUAGCCGACCUGAGAGGGUGAUCGGCCACACUGGAACUGAGACACGGUCCAGACUCCUACGGGAGGCAGCAGUAGGGAAUCUUCCGCAAUGGGCGAAAGCCUGACGGAGCAACGCCGCGUGAGUGAUGAAGGUCUUCGGAUCGUAAAACUCUGUUAUUAGGGAAGAACAAACGUGUAAGUAACUGUGCACGUCUUGACGGUACCUAAUCAGAAAGCCACGGCUAACUACGUG